UGGGGAAUCUUGCACAAUGGGGGAAACCCUGAUGCAGCGACGCCGCGUGAGCGAUGAAGCCCUUCGGGGUGUAAAGCUCUUUCGACGGGAACGAUAAUGACGGUACCCGGAGAAGAAGCUGCGGCUAACUACGUGCCAGCAGUCGCGGUAAUACGUAGGCAGCGAGCGUUGUUCGGAGUUACUGGGCGUAAAGAGUAUGUAGGCGGUUGCGCAAGUUCGGUGUGAAAUCUCCCGGCUCAACUGGGAGGGUGCGCCGAAAACUGCGUGGCUAGAGUGCGGGAGAGGAGAGCGGAAUUCCUGGUGUAGCGGUGAAAUGCGUAGAUAUCAGGAGGAACACCGGUGGUGUAGACGGCUCUCUGGACCGCCACUGACGCUGAGAUACGAAAGCGUGGGGAGCAAACAGGAUUAGAUACCCUGGUAGUCCACGCCCUAAACGAUGCGGACUUGGUGUGGGCAGUUCAUUCUGUCCGUGCCGGAGCUAACGCGUUAAGU
rnacentral:rRNA from 1 species